CCUCUUGUUUCCAUUUUCUGGAGUUCAUUUCCAUAAAUACUAUUUCAUAUAAUCAGGUGCACAUAAGUAUUGUGCCUUUGUGUGUCCCUCAAGGUUAUCCUCCUUUUGAAUCUCAAUUUUGCAGCUAUUUAUUUGUAGCCAUUUGUUUUUUUGUCUGUAAAACGGGCAUACUUUCAGUGGUGCUUGUGUCCUUAUGAUGAUUUACUGAGACAUGUUUGAAGAUACUGGAAAAGUAUUGAGCACACUGAAUACUAUAAAUGGUCCCUGUUUGUUAAUAGCUGUUGCUUAAGAUCUCUGCAACAAAUGCUCAACUAAGUUCUCAUUUAAUGCCAUCAACCCUGGGAAGAGGGUGUGAUCUGGAGCCCAGGGAGAGCAGAGAUCCACAACUAAUGGGGCAGAGCCAGAUGUUGAACUGGCUUUUGGGUCACUGUCACACUUCCUUCUCUGCCAGUACAGCCAGGUGAUAGAUGAAUUAAAAGCCACGUGUCUGCUCAGGAAUAGUUGUUAUUCACAAAGGUUUAGCGGAGAUAGCCAUUUUGUUUGUCAGAUUUCUAUUGCUGUGGCAAAAUACCGGACAUGAUCAACUUAGAAGAAAGAAAAAAUUGUGUCUCAAUGAAAAAAGGGAGAGUGGGAAGAGGAAAAGAAAGAAGGGCCAGGGUCCCAAUUUCUCCUUUAAGAACACAUCCUUAAUGAUGUAACUUCCUUCCAUUAGGCCCCACCUUCCACUACCUUCCAGCAAUACCACAGAUUGGUAACCAAAAGGCCUUUGGGAAACACUUUAAUCUGGGCUGUGGCAGGCACCAAAGCUUAAUUUGCCAUGUACUCUCCCCAGUUGGAAAGAAGAGGCUUAUUGGAUAGGCUUUCUCCAUAAUUCUCUUGCUAUUUUCAUUUCUGAGAGCAUCUAUGUGCCUAUGUAUGUGUUAUUGUGGGGCCCAUCAUGUCUCCUGGAUAUUGGCAAACAGGAACAUGAAAUGAUAGCAACACUCUUCUUCCUGCCCUUGUGUUAUUUUACAGCUUUUGUGCAGAGGGAUUAGAUAGAGAUCAGCAUUUGAGCUGAGGGGUCCCCAGUAUUAUGUGGACAUGGCAGACAUUGCUAGUUGAUUGCAGAGCUCUUGGCUUUUAAAAGCCUAGAUAAGGUUGUAGAUUUCUUUGGAAGAGUUCACCCAGGAUAGGUCUUCGGUUGCCAUCCUUGUGUUUUACUGAAACACAUUAGCCAACCAAGCACCUCCAAGAGAGUAUUCUCCUUCUUGCAAAUAGAUGGGCCUCUAUGAUGGACAAGGUUUAAGGUUUCCCAGUUCAUGAGAUUGACUUUUGUCUCCAGUUUGUUUAUUCAGGAAAAGGGAGAAAAAAAUGUCAUCUCUUGAUGAUGGUUACAUCACAUUCUAAUUGGUGAGAUCCGCUAAUGGAGGAUCUAAAAUUACUUGCUUAUUUUUCCUUUGUUCAAAGCCCAGAGGUUUUGCAUCAGAUUGUAGUACUUCCAGGACUGUUUGUAUUCCAAAGUGACACCUUUUCUGAAUUCUUAGCUAUUUAGGUAAGUGUUAAGUACGGGCUUGGUGACAGCAGUUUUUAAAACUGUGACUGACUUAAUGGAUCCUUUUCCUCCCUUGUUUAUACCUGGUGAAGUAUCGGGUGUUUACUCUGAAUAAAUUCAUUGUUACUUUCAGUGUAGCUUGUUUCUGCCUAUUUGAGUUGGUCCUCUGAAGAGUGUUAUUUUUGUAAGGAAAUCGGAGAUGAAGGAUGAAAGGGGAAAGGAAUUUAUUUUGUGAAGCUAAGUAUGUGAAUGACAUCAAGAAAUCCUGUAUUGGUUUCUUGGAUUUGAUUUCCCCCCGCUCUCUUUUUGAUGGCAAGUCUCUGGCUCAUUUACUAUGAAAUUUCUGUAUGGCAAGUCUGUCCCUUGUGGUUUUCACCAGCCUCACGUGGCUGUUGACACUCGAAAUGUGACUUGUUGGAGUUGAGAUGUGCUUGAAGUAUGAAAAAAGCAUGCAAAGUACUGAAUUAAAAAUGUGUGUUACUACCUAGUAACAUGCUAACAUCUUAGCUCUAUGGAGUAGAAAACAUGGUUAA